rnacentral:rRNA from 2 species
UACGUAGGCAGCAAGCGUUGUUCGGAGUUACUGGGCGUAAAGGGUGUGUAGGCGGUUCUUUAAGUUUGGUGUGAAAUCUCCCGGCUUAACCGGGAGGGUGCGCCGAAUACUGAGGGACUAGAGUACGGGAGAGGAAAGUGGAAUUCCUGGUGUAGCGGUGAAAUGCGUAGAUAUCAGGAGGAACACCGGUGGUGUAGACGGCUUUCUGGACCGUAACUGACGCUGAGACACGAAAGCGUGGGUAGCAAACAGG